UGGGAACGUGCCCAAAGGUACGGAACAACUCCGGGAAACUGGAGCUAAUACCGUAUGUGCCCGAAAGGGGAAAGAUUUAUCGCCUUUGGAUCGGCCCGCGUCUGAUUAGCUAGUUGGUGAGGUAAUGGCUCACCAAGGCGACGAUCAGUAGCUGGUCUGAGAGGAUGAUCAGCCACACUGGGACUGAGACACGGCCCAGACUCCUACGGGAGGCAG
rnacentral:rRNA from 1 species